GGGGUGAAGACAAAAUGGAUUAGCGGCGGACGGGUGAGUAACACGUGAGUAACCUGCCUUAGACAUUGGGAUAGCCUCGGGAAACCGGGAUUAAUACCAAAUAAAAUCAUAGGUGCACAUGCACUAAUGAUCAAAACUCCGGUGGUCUAAGAUGGACUCGCGUCCCAUUAGCUAGUUGGUAGGGUAACGGCCUACCAAGGCGACGAUGGGUAGCCGGCCUGAGAGGGUGAACGGCCACAUUGGAACUGAGAAACCGUCCAAACUUCUACGGGAGGCAGCAGUGGGGAAUAUUGCACAAUGGAGGGAACUCUGAUGCAGCGACGCCGCGUGAACGAAGAAGGCUUUCGAGUCGUAAAGUUCUUUUAUAUGGGAAGAUAAUGACGGU
rnacentral:rRNA from 1 species